GCAGUUGGUCGUUCCGUCGCUCUUUGAUAGCAAAGGGAGGAAAGUCCGGACAACAAAUGGGCGCCCCGCUACCUAACCGAUAGAUGUCCGCGAGGGCAUGGAAAAGUAGAAGAAAAUAACCGCCGCAAGGUAAGGGUGAGAAGGUGAGGUAAGAGCUUACCGGUUCGUGCAGUGAUGUACGAAGCCGUACUUCCCGGGGGUUGCAAGGUCAUAUACACCGGCGCAUGAGGAUUGCCCGUCCGAUGCCGGGGGGUAGACUGCAAGAAUUCAGCGGUAACGCCGAAUCCAGAUAAAUGACGGAAAUUCCUGCUUGCAGGGAUACAGAAUCCGGCUUAAAGACCGACUGCUUUU
rnacentral:RNase_P_RNA from 1 species